rnacentral:rRNA from 1 species
GAGUUUGAUCCUGGCUCACGAUGAACCCUGGCGCAGCGCCUAUCGGGUGCAAUUCUCCCGACGCCGACCGGAGGGGAAACCCACUGGUAUGACGGANCGGCUAACGGGUGAGUACACNUGAGCAAACUGCCCCACAGACCGGGAUAGCCCAGGGAAACCUGGAUUAAUACCGGAUACCCUCGGAUGACCACAUGGGAAACCGAGGAAAGGCCUUUGUGCUGUGGGAUGGGCUCGCGACUUAUCAGCUAGUUGGUGGGGUAAAGGCCCACCAAGGCAAUGACGAGUAGCUGGUCUGAGAGGACGAUCAGCCACACUGGAACUGAGACACGGUCCAGACUCCUACGGGAGGCAGCAGCAGGGAAUCUUGCGCAAUGGGCGAAAGCCUGACGCAGCGACACCGCGUGGGGGAUGAAGGCCUUCGGGUUGUAAACCCCUUUCAGGAGGGAAGAAAUUGACGGUACCUCCAAAAGAAGGACCGGCCAACUACGUGCCAGCAGCCGCGGUAAUACGUAGGGUCCUAGCGUUAUCCGGAAUCAUUGGGCGUAAAGAGCUCGUAGGCGGUUCAACAAGUCGGCUGUGAAAGUCUGAGGCUCAACCUCAGAAUUGCAGUCGAUACUGUUGUGACUUGAAUUCGGUAGAGGAGAUUGGAAUUCCACGUGUAGCGGUGAAAUGCGCAGAUAUGUGGAGGAACACCAGUAGCGAAGGCGGAUCUCUGGGCCGAUAUUGACGCUGAGGAGCGAAAGCGUGGGGAGCAAACAGGAUUAGAUACCCUGGUAGUC